rnacentral:rRNA from 1 species
CGCGGUAAUUCCAGCUCCAAUAGCGUAUACUAAAGUGUUGCAGUUAAAAGGCCGGUAGUUGAAUUUCUGGCGGGGACGGCUGGUCGGUCUCGAAAGGGGCUGUACUGUUGUUGGUUCCCGUCAUCCUUGGGGAGAGCGGCUCUUACAUUAAGUUGUCGGCGUCGGGAUCCCUAUCUUUUACUGUGAAAAAAUUAGAGUGUUCAAAGCAGGCUUAGGCCCUGAAUACAUUAGCAUGGAAUAAUAAGAUACGACCUUGGUGGUCUAUUUUGUUGGUUUGCACGCCAAGGUAAUGAUUAAUAGGGAUAGUUGGGGGUAUUCGUAUUCAAUUGUCAGAGGUGAAAUUCUUGGAUUUAUGGAAGACGAACUACUGCGAAAGCAUUUACCAAGGAUGUUUUCAUUAAUCAAGAACGAAAGUUAGGGGAUCGAAGAUGAUUAGAUACCAUCGUAGUCUUAACCAUAAACUAUGCCGACUAGGGAUCGGUGGGUGCAUUUUUAGGCCUCAUCGGCACCUUAUGAGAAAUCAAAGUCUUUGGGUUCCGGGGGGAGUAUGGUCGCAAGGCUGAAACUUAAAGAAAUUGACGG